CAUGGAAUUGCUGGGUCAUAUGGUAACUCUGUGUUUAACUUUUUGAGGAACUGCCAGACUGUUUUCCAAAGUGGCUGCACCAUUUUACAUUUCCACCAGCAGU
rnacentral:pre_miRNA from 1 species